CAAGUCGAGUGCGCGUCCGUAGCAAUACGGAUGGCGCACGGCGCACGGGUGCGUAACACGUGGGCAAUCUGCCCUCCGAUGGGGAAUAACCCCGCGAAAGCGGGGCUAAUACCGCAUAACAUUCCUUGGACUCCGGUCUGGGGACUCAAAGGCGUAAGUCGUCGGAGGAGGAGCCCGCGCACGAUUAGCUAGUUGGCAGGGUAACGGCCUACCAAGGCUUUGAUCGUUAGCUGGUCUGAGAGGAUGGCCAGCCACACUGGAACUGAGACACGGUCCAGACUCCUACGGGAGGCAGCAGUGGGGAAUCUUGCACAAUGGGCGAAAGCCUGAUGCAGCGACGCCGCGUGGGGGAUGAAGCUUCUCGGAGUGUAAACCCCUUUCGACCCGGACGAAACCCCGCAAGGGAUUGACGGUACGGGUAUAAGAAGCCCCGGCUAACUACGUGCCAGCAGCCGCGGUAAGACGUAGGGGGCCAGCGUUGCUCGGAAUUACUGGGUGUAAAGGGUUCGUAGGCGGUGUGGCAAGUCGGGAGUGAAAUCUCUGGGCUUAACUCAGAGUCUGCUUCCGAAACUGCUGUGCUUGAGUGUGGGAGAGGCGCGUGGAAUUGCAGGUGUAGCGGUGAAAUGCGUA
rnacentral:rRNA from 1 species